UCUAUCCUUAAGCCACUUUCAGCACUUGCUUCAACCCUUCAACACAAGUGCCUUAUGACAACGCGUGCCUUUAAAUACACGAAGCAAAACACAGAGAGGGAAUCAUUUAUCAUUCUCUUGCUUUUUUGUUACUAAUAAUCCCAAAAAGCAAUGAGAACAUCACAAAUUCUGUUGGUUUUGCUUUGGUUCUUCUGCGUUUAUGCCCCUUCUUCGUUUGGAGCAAAUGUCACGUAUGACCACAGAGCAUUGGCCAUUGAUGGCAAGCGCCGAGUCUUGGUAUCUGGUUCUAUAUAUUCAUUACCCUCGUAGCACUCCAAAGAUGUGGCCAGACCUCAUUCAGAAAUCCAAAGAUGGAGGACUUGAUGUGAUUGAGACUUAUGUUUUCUGGAACUUACGCGAACCAGUUCGAGGCCAGUAUAAUUUUGAAGGUAGAUGCGAUUUGAUCAAAUUUGUGAAGGUAGUAGCAGCAGCAGGUCCAUAUGUGCAUCUCCAGAUCGGUCCAUACGCAUGUGCUGAAUGAUACUACGGGAUAUGGUGGGGAUAGGAUAGAGGAUUUAUUCUGUCAAAAAGGAUAGCGGAUUUAUUGUAUACAAAAUACCUUGUUCCGAAGGAUUUGUAAUGUUUUGUUACCCCCUUAUACCUUACAUCCUCUAUCAGUCUAAAUGAUUUUUUUUUUUCUGACUAAAGAAAAAAUUCAAGAAACUUUGUUUAAGGUACUCAAUUUAGAUACACAGCAACAAUCAUACACAUGCAGGGUAGCACGAGUGUUUAGAUUAGCACCUCUC